UUGAACGCUGGCGGCAGGCCUAACACAUGCAAGUCGAACGGUAACAGGAAGCAGCUUGCUGCUUCGCUGACGAGUGGCGGACGGGUGAGUAAUGUCUGGGAAACUGCCUGAUGGAGGGGGAUAACUACUGGAAACGGUAGCUAAUACCGCAUAACGUCGCAAGACCAAAGAGGGGGACCUUAGGGCCUCUUGCCAUCGGAUGUGCCCAGAUGGGAUUAGCUAGUAGGUGGGGUAACGGCUCACCUAGGCGACGAUCCCUAGCUGGUCUGAGAGGAUGACCGCCCCCCAGGGAACUGGGACCCGGUCCGGACUCCUACGGGGGGCAGCGGGGGGGAAUAUUGCACAAUGGGCGGAAGCCUGAUGCAGCCAUGCGGGGUAUGAAGAGGGCCUUGGGGUUGUAAAGUCCUUUCGGGGGGGAGGAAGGGAGAAAAGUUAAUACCUUGGCCCAUUGCCGUUCCCCGCAGAAGAAGCACCGGUUAACUCCGU
rnacentral:rRNA from 1 species